ACUAGCGGUCCAUGAUUAUAUAGUCAAAGGACACGGUAACGUUUAAUGACGCAGUAAGAAGCGACGUGAUGUACGCACGAUAGUUAAUCGACAAUAGAGAAAAAUUCAUUGUUUAGCGUAACACGUAUUUCUGAGGAAGAGUAUCGCUACGAUUUUUCGAAUCCUGGUGUUUCUGGUCACUGCAAAUAUAAGAGGAGGCGGAAGAAGGAGGCAAUUAAUAAUACAUUUUACCGACAUAUAAACGACAGAGGUGAAUAUUUGUUUAUUAACGGUCUCAUAAUGUCAAAAAGGAAAAGAGGACCUUAUAAAAGAUAUCUGCUAGACGAUUCUAACGAAAUUCCUGUAAUAACAAAACGUUCUCGUCUAACAGCAAAAAAAUGGAAAAUAGUUAAACAGAUGGAAAAGUUAUGAUGAAUAGAUUGAUUCAUAUGAACAAAAUGAUAUGACCAUUGAAGGACAUUCUUUCCAUGAAUCUUUGAAAAA